rnacentral:rRNA from 1 species
GAUGAACGCUGGCGGCGUGCCUAAUACAUGCAAGUCGAACGAGGUGCUUUUGUAGUAAUACGAAAGUAUCCUAGUGGCGAACGGGUGAGUAACGCGUUGGUGACCUACCCAAAGUGUGGGAUAACAGUCCGAAAGGAUUGCUAAUACCGCAUGUGGUCUUCGGGUUUAGAAACUGAUGACUAAAGGAGCAAUUCGCUUUGGGAGGGACCUGCGUCCCAUCAGCUAGUUGGUGAGGUAAUGGCUCACCAAGGCUACGACGGGUAGGGGACCUGAGAGGGUGACCCCCCACAAUGGAACUGAAACACGGUCCAUACACCUACGGGUGGCAGCAGUAGGGAAUAUUGCACAAUGGGCGAAAGACCUGAUGCAGCAACGCCGCGUGUGCGAUGAAGGCCUUCGGGUC